rfam:Callithrix jacchus chromosome 5, whole genome shotgun sequence
CUCCAGGGCAACCGUGGCUUUCGAUUGUUACUGUGGGAACUGGAGGUAACAGUCUACAGCCAUGGUCGCCCCGCAGCA